rnacentral:rRNA from 1 species
GAUGAACGCUGGCGGCGUGCCUAAUACAUGCAAGUCGAGCGAACGGACGAGGAGCUUGCUUCUCUGACGUUAGCGGCGGACGGGUGAGUAACACGUGGAUAACCUACCUAUAAGACUGGGAUAACUUCGGGAAACCGGAGCUAAUACCGGAUAAUAUAUUGAACCGCAUGGUUCAAAAGUGAAAGACGGUCUUGCUGUCACUUAUAGAUGGAUCCGCGCUGCAUUAGCUAGUUGGUAAGGUAACGGCUUACCAAGGCAACGAUGCGUAGCCGACCUGAGAGGGUGAUCGGCCACACUGGAACUGAGACACGGUCCAGACUCCUACGGGAGGCAGCAGUAGGGAAUCUUCCGCAAUGGGCGAAAGCCUGACGGAGCAACGCCGCGUGAGUGAUGAAGGUCUUCGGAUCGUAAAACUCUGUUAUUAGGGAAGAACAUAUGUGUAAGUAACUGUGCACAUCUUGACGGUACCUAAUCAGAAAGCCACGGCUAACUACGUG